UUUGGAAAACGAGCCGCGAAAAUGAGCGCAAAUCAAAAGGAGAGCAUGUCAUAAUGUCACAAGCGCCGCGUAGGGCUCAUGUAAGGCGCGACAAAAGGGAAGCCGCGCCCCGCCUCCACACUGACCACCAGAGCCGCCCCCCCGCCGCAGCGUGGAAGUUUCCAGAAGAGGAAAAAGUGUCGCAGUCCCGCCUAACGGUGCCCUGAAGGAAUCAUGUCGACUUUAUUGAGCCACGGCACAACAUCCGUGUCACGGACAGGAAAUGAGGUUGACCAUGCCAGGAAGCAAGGUCAGCAGCCAUGUUUACGAGCAGAGCGGCACACAAA